GAAUAUUGCGCAAUGGCCGCAAGGCUGACGCAGCGACGCCGCGUGUGGGAUGACGGCCUUCGGGUUGUAAACCACUGUCGGGGGGGACGAAUACAGGGCUUCGAAUAGGAGACCCUGGGUGACGGUACACCCAAAGGAAGCACCGGCUAACCCCGUGCCAGCAGCCGCGGUAAUCCGGGGGGUGCGAGCGUUGUCCGGAAUCACUGGGCGUAAAGGGCGCGUAGGCGGCUCACUAAGUUGCCGGUGAAAUCCCGGGGCUCAACUCCGGGGGGUCUGGUAAGACUGGUGGGCUUGAGCACGGUAGAGGCAGAUGGAAUUCCCGGUGUAGCGGUGGAAUGCGUAGAGAUCGGGAAGAACACCAGUGGCGAAGGCGGUCUGCUGGGCCGUUGCUGACGCUGAGGCGCGACAGCGUGGGGAGCAAACAGG
rnacentral:rRNA from 1 species